rnacentral:rRNA from 1 species
UACGAAGGGGGCUAGCGUUGUUCGGAAUUACUGGGCGUAAAGCGCACGUAGGCGGAUACUUAAGUCAGGGGUGAAAUCCCGGGGCUCAACCCCGGAACUGCCUUUGAUACUGGGUAUCUCGAGUCCGGAAGAGGUGAGUGGAAUUCCGAGUGUAGAGGUGAAAUUCGUAGAUAUUCGGAGGAACACCAGUGGCGAAGGCGGCUCACUGGUCCGGUACUGGCGCUGAGGUGCGAAAGCGUGGGGAGCAAACAGG